CAAUAGCGUAUAUUGACGUUGUUGCAGUUAAAAAGCUCGUAGUUGGAUUUCUGGAGGGAGCAUCGGCCCGUAUUUACGAGUGCGUGACGUCUCUGUCCAUCCUUGCGGGAAGGCACGGCAUUGAUUUGUUGUGUCGGAUCGCAUCAUUUACUGUGAAAAAAUUAGAGUGUUCAAAGCAGGCUUUCGCUUGAAUACAUUAGCAUGGAAUAAUAAGAUAGGACUUUGGUGCUAUUUUGUUGGUUGAGCCUAAAGUAAUGAUUAAUAGGGAUAGUUGGGGGCACCUGUAUUGCGUUGUCAGAGGUGAAAUUCUUGGAUUUACGCAAGACAAACAGCUGCGAAAGCGUCUGCCAAGGAUGUUUUCAUUAA
rnacentral:rRNA from 1 species